AGCCAGGGCUUUGCCAUGCCCACUGCGUUCUGAGUUGGGAAACCCGAACUAUGGCCAGGCAGGUUUUGUUCCCAGGAAACUAAAAGCCGGAUCAUAGUCCUUCACUGAACCUGAGGACUAGUGAAGAGAUAACAUCUCCCCCAUCCCAAGCCAGACCUCGGUGAUCCCUCCAGGCAAUCGGAACCCUUGGUGGCUAACUCCGAGUGUCUGGGAUUUGUCCCUAACAGAAGGGCCUUGCUCUCUGGUGUUGGGUCUAGCUCUUAUUUCAGGUAGUCAUGGUCAAGACAUUUAUCCUAGUUGCGGAAGGAAUUCACAGGAUAGAUAAAACUGGAGCAACGCGGAUUUGGGAGACGUGCCAUAAGAUAACGACAAUGGAUGAAGUUUGUGGAAGUGCGAAAGUUAAAUAAAAUGAGCAAUAACUAACACACACAUCACCCUACAGCCCAGUGACAGCAGGGUCGCUGUCCUAACAGCCGUCUCUCAUGAGCCACACCAGCCCGUAUUCCCAGUCCUGUCCUGGGAGGCCACUCCUGAUGGGACCAGAGUUUAUCGUGAGAUUCCGCUUGUACUUGGCUAAGAAACUCUGGGUCUGCUCCCAAAUGCAGCACCUUCCUGAGAGUCUACACUACGAUGACAAUAGCUAUGUUUAUUGAACAGUUACGGAGAAUCCUGAAAUUGCUAAACCUGGACAGUACCCUAGUAACUUCAAGACAGCAUUAGUAAGAUCUAAGGUGCUACAGUGCAGGGACAGCCUGAGACCUCGGCCAACAGGACAGGCAGAGCGAGGAGGGCCGGGCUGUUGGCCAGCACCGCGGAGGGCCUGCUGAGUGGAGCCAACUCCAGUUACCGUCGCGCCCCUGGAAGGUCGGCGCUCUCGGUACAGGUCACAUCAGAGAGACAAGAGGGGAAAUCCUGGAGCUCAUUCGGACUGUCCAACCUUAAGUAGACCUCCUAGAAGAGCGCGUUUGAAUUGCUAAGCACAAUUCCAUUGCCUGGAGGGAUGAUUCUCGUGAGACAGAGCAGAACCGAGGUUUGUAGCCCUUCCUUCCUCUGCACUCAGAGCCUGUGGGCCAUCCUUCCCGGUUCCCUCGGCGAGGAGCGUCUGUUGGUAAGGGGAGAAUGCUGUAUACUUCGACUGUGUUGGGUGGAAAAAAUGGAGAACCUCGGCCUAAACUCUGUGGCCAUGUGGGACGGAGGGUUCUCAUGCUAGUGCAGCCGUGUCCACCGACCUGAGGGAAAGAUACAGCACCCAGGUCUCUGAGGUUGUCAGGCUUGUCCCCAACGAGCCCCAUCACAGUCGAUGCUGUCACACCACGACGGUUUUCAGACAGGCACAAGACAUCCUUAAGCCAAGGGGUGAUCACUUGCCUCAAAAAGAACCGUGACCAGGGCUCUCCCUGUCCACAUGUUCUUCCUCCGUAAGGUGACGUAGCUCCGGGUGACUCCUCAUUGCCAUGCUGGAAGCCAAGCCCUGUGAUGAGAUUUCCUAACCCAGGGUGGAUUAGCAGAAUAACUUUGAAUCCUGGAUCUACACAAGAACAUGAGCAGUUAGCAAACAUUCAGGAAAACUAGCUGCAAGACUCAACUCUUAAAAUUUCUAGCGUGUGUUGCUAGAAUCCACAAAAUUCCUUCAACGUUCAGGAUUUCCCUGGGUGGUGAGCUGAUAUCCGACGUGCUAUUUCGUUUUCUGCAUCACAUUGACCAGGGCCUGGCAUCCACUGCUUUAACCCAAUGCUGAUCUAGAGGCUAGCCACGGAGAUGCAGUGAAUGUGGGCCACAUCUGUGACCGGGUGACCUCCAGUAGAAGAGAUUACCUUGGAUAAUGUGGGUGGGCUUAGUAUAAUCAGCUGAAGGCCUUAAGAACAAAAGCUAAGAUGUUUCAGAGAAGAAAUUCUGCCUCGCGACCACAGCAUCAGUUCCUGUCUUUGUUUCCUGCUUCCCCGCAAACUGUGGGUUCGCAGCUCCCUGCCUGCAUGAGCCAUCUUUACAAGCUGAUGCAGGAGAGUUGCUCUUGAGUAUGGAAGAAGGCCGCAAACGCACCACAGCGCUGCUCUGCUGGCAGGAUGAGUAGUUUCCUGCUACUGUCCGUGCAGCCAAGCUCCUGCCAGGUGCUUCACGCGAAUGGCAGCCACCCUCGCAGCCCACAAAGAAGGCAACAUGCAGAGAAGACUGACCUUGGGGAGCCCCAGAGACCUGCCAGAAGCCACCCAGCUGGCCAAUGGCAGGGUAGAGACUGGGAACUAAAGUGCUCUAAGGUGAGUCUUGUGUGUCAGAAACAA